UACAGGGGGCUCGAGCGUUAGUCGGAAUCACUGGGCUUAAAGGGUGCGUAGGCGGUCCGCCAAGUGCUUUGUGAAAUCCCACAGCUCAACUGUGGAACAGCAGGGCAAACUGGAGGACUUGAGGCAGGUAGGGGCUGGAAGAACAGUUGGUGGAGCGGUGAAAUGCGUAGAUAUCAACUGGAAUGCCGAUGGGGAAGCCGUCCAGCUGGGCCUGUCCUGACGCUGAGGCACGAAAGCGUGGGGAGCAAACAGGAUUAGAUACCCUGGUAGUCCACGCCGUAAACGAUGUGCACUAGACUGGUGCGGUUUUGACGCCGUAUCAGUCGCAGUAAAAACGAUAAGUGCACCGCCUGGGGAGUACGGUCGCAAGGCUAAA
rnacentral:rRNA from 1 species